AGGGGUUUGGAUUUAAACACUCCUAAUUGCCCAGGAACUUUAUUAAUUGGAGCUGUAAGUUAACUCUUUGACAGAGAGAGCGAGAUGGUGGUGGGGGACAGCCCCCAGUAAAGUCAGAGGUGAGAGCACAAAGCAAUAAAGUAGGCAGACUCUGGUUUUUGGGGGGUAGAUGCUCCAGAAUAUCCAGGGGGAUUCCUGAGGCUCGAUCCCGCCUUUGUGUAUGCCGAGCCUCCUUCCUCACGACCUUUGUCACGAGUGGAAUGUCUCUCGCCGGCUCCCGGCACCAAGCCCCAGCCAGCCCAGGGUCUUUGGCCAUGUGGGUGCCAGGGGUGCCACAGUGGCCAGGCACUUUGGGGCUGCCUGUCCACAGGCCCUUCCCCAGCCUGGUCUGACCCAUCAUGGUGGAUGGGCAGAAGGGCAGACGUGCAGACGUGCGCUCAGAACCCUCCCAGGACUUUCUGGCGAGCUGCUGGAGAGGCCUCACUGGCACACUCACUUUCUCUCCCAUGGUGCUUCGGACACAGCAGGGCUUGGGGGGCAGGGGCGGAGUUCAGGGAGCCCGCACCUGAGGAAAAGAGAUGCUCAGCUGGAAGGGUGGCGAGAAGGCUGGGGCCCUGCUCCCUGCCCAGCCGGGGUUCCGGGAGGGCCUUCCUUGGGGGAGCUGGGGCCCACACCAUGUACCUCGUAUCUGCGGGGGGGGGGGGGCGGGGGAGGAUGAAAAGAGACAGAAGCACUGUGCUCCCAGCCCAGACCUCCCCGGUGAGCCCCACCUGCAGCACCCAGACAAACCACCUGAAGGCUCCAGGGCGUGGCUGCCAGGACUCACGGGGUCAGGAACCACUCUGGAAGCCUGCCAGGAUGGACCGGCCCGUGGCGAGGAGGGCUGAGGCUCCCUGGAGGAGCAGGAGCCAGCAAGGGCCGUCCCGAGUGCAUUCACCAGGGUGACUGUCCCAGAAGGGGCCAUGUCCCCACCGCCGGUGAACGGGAAGAAACUCAGCCCAUCCUCUUGGCCCGCGGGGUCUGAGGUGCCUGGAGCCUGGGACGG
rnacentral:lncRNA from 1 species